UUGGGUGUGGGCUUUCUCGCUGUGCUGUGCUCCCCGCCCCGAGGACUUUUGAGAAGAGCUCUUAGGAUGGACCAUCUCAAAGGAAUCCUGUGCUGUCCUACGGCAGUGACCCCUUGGGCCACUCCGGGGCUGCUGAUGCUGGGUUGAACGCUGCGGUCUGGUUUGGUCCCAGCUAAAUGAAAGACAGGUGAUCCAGGAGGGAAUGGUCAGGAGGUCCUGGGAGGAGGUUUCUCUUAGUGAGAGAUGAGUCCCCAAGGUUCCUGUUGCUGCCUCAUCCCCAACCCCCCAGCACAUACACUGUGUGGCUUCCAUCUUCCUGUCUGUGUGUUUCUAGAACCUAUGUUCCUAGAACCUCAGAGUCUCUGGUGGUCUCGAAGAUGGGGAGGUGAGAAGGGAUCAGUGGGCAACUGGGAAUUCAGAAUGCAGCAAGGUUUCAAUACAGGGUGCUGAGUCCUCCUGGUCUGAUGAAAGACAGCAAUUCCUUUGCCAGCAUGGAGGCUGGUGUUGUCAGAUUUCCCUUGUCCUAGUCCCGCGGGCCUCUGUGUUGGCCUGGGGGUCAUGCCCUCAUUAUAUCCAUUGUCGGCAGCUGCCUCCUGUAAGAGUCCGAGAUGAAGGAUACGGAGGGGGAGGGCUUGCUUUCUCGCUGCCCUUGCUGUGAGCUCUGUGUAGAGUCUGCACGAUGACUUAUUAACCUCAGCGGGUAGCAAACAUCAAGAGUCUUUUUGGAAAAUGAAGGAGGCAGAGGAUGGGGCUGCAGCAAUGAAAAGGGUCCUCGGGGCUCUGGGGUGAGUCAAGUAGGUGUUUCCUUCUGUAGAGGGGCGGGACUGAGAAGGCGCGCCCGGGUCUCCAUGUCUCCAUCUGCAACAGGCAGGAUGUUCUUGCUCAACUCUGGCCCCUUCUUUGUUCUGAGAUUCUUAGAAUCAGCCCUAAAUCUCUGUGCCCGUUUCCUUAGGGCCACUCUGGACUGCCAGGCGGUGCCCUCUGUAGACUCUGAGUGGGUGGGGGCAGUUGCCUCAGAGGGCUCAUCCUUCUGAACGUGGGUGGCUUCCGAGAAGACUCUCCUGUCCUCCUUGCCAGUCACAACGCCGCAGGGCUGAAGUGCCCAAGGUCACUUUAGGUCUCCUUCACCCUCCUAGCCUCCCUGCACACUCAAAAAGCCCUGGUAAAGGGUUAUUUAUUUGUUUAUUUAUUUUUAAGGAGCUGGAGGUGGUUAGAUGGGUUUUGAAAUGACACCCCAUUAGCCAAUAUGGCCACCCCCAUCUAGUUCAAUCUCAUGGCCCGCUACUAAACUCCACAGUUUAGAAGUCCACGCCGGAGUGACUGGGAGGGGGUGUAGCAUCACUCAAGCUCCUUUGUAGCUGUGGUGGAUGCGCGAGUUCCCCCAGGCUUGUCUCCCUGCCACACCCUCCUCACCUGGUCCCCCCCAGACUGAGUGUGAGUGAGUUGCUGUUAGAUGCCCACCUGGGAAUAGGGUGCCAUGGCCAGGGGUCUUUCCAGUUCUUCUUGACUUUGGCGGUGAACCCAAUGCUGUCCUCUAAUUACACCCUUGACCUCUGAGUGGAUCUUGAGGGUCACUAAGCCUCGUUCAGUUAACAGACAAAAAUUUUGAUAUUUCCCCCACUCAGAAGAUGGUGUGCAAAUCAUCCCUGGAAAGAGACCUCCUACGGGAGGCAAAGGUUCCUUGGUCCUUCUGGGUUCAGGUUGACCAUGACUCUCUCUCCUCUGAUGCUUACUUUGCGGACUACACUAGUGCAACUAUUUUUGGUGCUAAAUACUACAGAAACCAACACCAACGGUAGAACAGCCAGCCAGCCCAUUUUUAGUGCUGUUUGAGACUCAACUCAGAAGCAAAAGCAGAUUUCACUGGAAAGACUUCAGUGGAGGUCCCUUUGGAGUAAGGAAGUUGAUUCUAUCAAGCUUCAUCAAUUUGAGCCUUACAUGUCUCAAGGAUGAGAAAUCCAGAGAUGGACUGGCCUAAGAGAUGUUCAGAAAGGUCCCGAGGGGAAAUCUGUUCUUUUGUAAAGUUCAAUCACUGGGGGCUCCCUGAAUUAAAUUCUGCUAAUGAUGACAUCCUGAGCAUCUGAAAAUGGCUCUUCCCGGUUCAUGGAUCACAUGAGAACUCACCGUUUCUACACAUCCUGUCCUGUUUCUGGGCUGGUAUUGAAUUCACCAGCACUGCAGGUGAAACCAGUCUGUGGGAGGGAGGGGAUGUAGAGAAUGUGAGAUGUUGAUCACUGGUCGCUCUUUCUGAAAGGCACUGCUGACUGUGGUGGGUGUGGUGAAUAUCUGUGAAUCCCUGCAUGGGGUAUGAGGACUUUUGCUGUGAGAAUAAUCAGUUUCACCCAGAGAAUCUGGUAUCCUGUCUUCUGACAUAGUCUCUGCCUCCCUGGUAUGUUCCUCAGAAUCAGAGUUCCCUGGACUGUCUAAACAAAUUCUUUGCAAACAAGAGAUCCUCCCACCCAAGUCUUGGUAUGCCAACAUAGACACUAUUCUAUUUCACAAGGAGAUCCAAGGAAAUUUGGGGUGCUCUCUCAAAGUACUUGAAAUUCUUGGUCCAAGUAAGAAAAAUUCAGAUUCCACUUCCUCUUUAAAUUCCAAAUUUAAAACAAGACCUGAUCUGAUAUUUGCAGUAGAGAGAUAUAUCUUAAGCCAGUGUGCCAGGCUGUCUCCCAUCCUAUAGAGGCAAGAGAGUGAGCUCUAUUCAUUUUUCCCAAUCACCAAGGUAAAUGGUAUUUUAUGUGCAGUGCCAUGACCCAAGCUUGGAGCUUUCAAGAGAUACUUAUGCCCAACAAGCUAGAAGUUUAUAAUAGAAGGCAUAUCAACAUUGUAUAGAUGAAGAAAGCUCGUUGGAGUCUCCUUCUGAGAAAUGCCUGUCACUCAGAUCUUGCUUUUCAGCUUUACAUCUCAUGAGAGAAGUUGGUUUCUUCUCAGUUUAGGUGAUGACAAAUUUAGAUUUCCUUCCUGAAUGUCUGAAGGUAGAUUGAGCACCUGGAUAUCCACAGUCUACCCUGACACUUCUCUGGGUGCAGCAUCUCUAAAGCCCGUGAGAAAUAUGUGUAGCUAAGCUAAGUCUGGCAGCUAUUCCUUCGUUUAAGAAGAGUUUGCAGGCAUCAUAAAAACAAAUUUUGUAAUAUGUUAACAGGUAGCACAUACUCAAGUGAAUAGCUUCCUGACAUCUUUUGUUUUCUCUUGGAGAAGUGUUUAUGUUCCAUCUUCAUUCCACAGCUUCCUGACAUUAGCUGAUUCCUCUAAGCUCACCUCUGGAGUGAAUAAAUAAACCUGGUCCAAGUGAUUUGAUGCCUGCUUUCUGCAGUAGAGAAGUAAAUCUUAGUAAAGAAGAACGUUUUUCAUUGUUGUCUUCUUCUUCUUCUUCUUCUUUUUUACUUUUUCUUUUUUUUUUUUUCCUUCUGGCUCUUAUCCUCCUGCUUCCAUAGGACUGACAAUCCAGUUUCUCAGACUCCAUGAAGGUCUUAAUAUAAGGUGAAUCUCAGGACCGCAAACAGUUUGGACUUCAAACAGUGAGAAAAUUGGUGCUGAAUGAUUCGGCACACAAAGCAGAAAACUUUCAUUUCCUGCAGGCAGGAUGGAAUUGACUGUUAUAUUAAGACUUCUGAAGGAGCCCUGCCCUGGAGUAAUUUCAGCACUGUCAGACAAUGUUGACAUCUAGAUUAACCUCUGUGCAGUGAAGUUUACUGCAGAGCUCAUUGAGAAGCAUGUGGUGGAUCUCUGCAAAUCCCAUCUAGAACCAUUGGUGGGCCACCCUCCACACCAUGCCCCUCCACUCCCCACCCACUCCUCUCCCCAUCUGUGGACUUUUUAACCUCCAGGAACCAUGGCUGGAAUCUGAUCCCAGGAGAUGGAAUUUGGCCCCCUUCUCUGUCUCUCUCUCUGUCCAUGGUGCUGAACCAGGCUUUGUGCUCAGCUGGAGUGACAGUGGUUGUCAUUGUAUUGGUUUUCCCCUCAGGGGACUACAAAUCAAGGCAUGAAAGCCACUCUGCUGAUGACAAACAAUUUUGUGGCAUAUCUUUAUGCUGCACAAAGUGAAAUGGUUUAUAAGGAAUUAGUGUGCCCCACAUCUAUAAGACUUUCUCUGAGCUCUCCAGUUCUCUAGCAUUUCCAGGGUCAGACAUAACAGGUCCUGACUACAGCUUGGUGGUCAGGUGGGGGUGACGGAUUCUGAUGGACAAAGGUAUUGCCCUAUGUCUGGGUAGGUGUUUCCUAUGGUUCUAACAAAAGAGGUAGCAUAGCUCCUUUUUCUCCUGGUUGGGACAAAGUAUGCAGCUGUCCACUACGAUCUUUUUUGCCCACUCUCUCCUGAUGGGGUGGUGGGCUCCAGAGUGGCCCAUACCCUUCCUAAUUCACUAUGUGAAACCACACAAGGGUGCAGCAGCCAGAAGAAACCUCAAAGUGAAAAAUCACAACUUCUCUACAAUCGGGGGCCACUCAUCACACCAAAAGUGUUGAGAAAUGUCCUUUAGAGUAAAUUCAUUGACCACAAAUUUCCCUGGUGUCUUACUGGUUUCUGUUUCUCCCUGAAAUUGUUUUUCCCACUUUGCCUCCUAUAUUUAAUGAGUAGCAGGAAUCUUUUUGUAUUCCCUUAGACAUUCUUUAGGAGAAAUGAAAGUUGCCAGUCAAGGACACUGUGUUUAUUGACUGGGAAAAUAGAUUUAUGGGCCAAGUAAUGUCACAGCCAUAUAAAGAGGCAGACCUGAUGACUUUAUUUAAAAGCAAUUAUCAGUGUUUUAUUUUGCCUGGGUGCUCAGGCUUAUAUAGGGCAAACUGCAUUCAUCUUUCUAUUUUAUUACUUAAACUUGUUCACAUGCACACACACACACACACACAAAUACCUUUACACUCCUGUUGGUCCUAAAAGGUCCAACAAGCAGUGUGCCCCAUUUGUCUUUCUCCCAACAACAUCCAUGCACAUGUAUGUGCAAAUAAGUGUACACCAAGCCUGAAGUUACUUAAACUUAUUAUAUCUCACCUUUUACUUUAUUAUCUACACAAUCUUCAGCUUUCUGACUUUUUGCACUAUGGAUCAUCUAUGAAAUUAAGGCCUUUUCAAGGAAGACUAUAUCUUGAAUUUUCAGAACCUUCAUAUUUAGUGGUUGGAUUCAUUUUCUCAGAGAAACAGAAAACCAAACUGAACCUUGAUGCAGAUUUUAUUUAAUUUUGGGGGAUGGAAGAGAAGCAAUGGAUUGGAGCCUGAACAGUACAUACUGUAUUAUGUAUAAGUAUAAAUGUAAGUUAGUUCAAGCAGAUUAAUGAACCUAUCUUGGGGCUGAAACCAUGAGAUAUCAAACAUUCAAAUGGAAUGAGAGCAUGAAGGGGAAGUGGUAGACUUUCCUGGAAGAUUUCAGUGUUCCACGGGGACAAGGACAGAGCACUGGGCUAAAAGUCAGCUGGGUAUAGUUUGUCUGGGUGACUGUUUCCAAGUUACUUCAGUUCUUUGGGCUGAUGUGUAAGCGUCCUUAGUCUACAGUGGACAGCUGGUAGACCUGAGCCUCUUCUUGAACGGCAGUGCUAACAUAAGUCAAUCUCCAACUCGUCUAUUGCUUGGAUCACUUGACUGAAAGAUAUCUUCUCCAGGUCUCCCCUAGAACAAGACUGCAAAUGUCCCUGUCCUGAAGAUUCAGCCUUACUUUAGUCUUGUGUUCAGGUCAUCUCUUGCAGCUCUUCUUUGUAUGUUCUUGAACGUUCACACUUGUACCAUCCACCACUACCCCCUAUUGCAUCCCUCUAUCUCUGCCAAGUCAGGAAAAGCCCCACUGGCCCCUCUCCCUCCUUCCUAGUUUGGGCAUCAACCACACUUGUGAUUUAGCCAAGGUUUCUGGAGAGGAAACCAGUGUGCUCUCAGCCAUCAGUCUUUCCAGCUCAUUUGACCAAAUGAUUAGCUCCUUAUUAUCAUCUCAUCAGUCCCUCUUGCACAAGAGAUGUUGGGACAACAAACCCAUGAUAAUGUCCUGUUCUGUCUUUUUGAGGAUUAUUUGUUCCUUCUGUCUUGGUUUAGAGAGGUUUGCCUUGCCACAAACAGGUUUUCCUUCAAAUUUCUUGAGUCAUUUUUCUGGCUGUUAACUAGACUGAUAAAGGGUAAACCAUGGUUUCCUUCUUUUUUUUUUUUUUUUUUUUUUUUUGCUUAGGCUCCUAUCAGCACGGGUGUACUAUAUCCCUACAGAAUAAGAGUGUCACAUGUCAGCAAGAUGUUUAUUUAUUUAGUGGAAAGGCUAUAAUAUGGAAACACAGAUUUGCAGCAGCAUCCAAAUCUUGAAGGGGAUAAAAGUCUUUUUCAAUCAAAUGAGAUCUUUACUGUAAUGGCACCAGGAAGGCUUAUACCUUAAGAACUAAAUUGAACCUGAUAACAUGGUCUCUUUUUAGGGAACAAUGAGGUGGAAGAAAUUACCCUAGGACCUGGGAGACUAGAUCCUCCACUCCACAAAUCAUGCUGUAUCAGUAGAUAUUUCAACUCUUUCUCUCAAAUGGCUCUGAGAACCAACAGUGACCUAUGAUCAAAUAUCCACGUUAACUACUAAAAGCAAAUUCAUCACAUUUAAACACAUUCCUAGUUGCUUAAUAUAGUUUUUCCCUGGUACUUCUGGGGAUAGUUUAAUAUUGUUUCUUUUCUUGAUCCCUGUUAAUAUUUUCAAUAAGAUUUCUAAAUUCUUUUAUGUUCAUUUCUUUAGGAAAAACAUGGAGUCAAUUCAGAAUUUUGUGUAUGAUAAAAUGACUAAACAGACUGAAAAUAGUGUAGGGUAGGGGGACAACCAUAGGACUGGGGAGGAGGCCGAGGACAUCUAAGCUCCUAUUUUUGCUGAGUGAUCUUGGAAACAUCAUUAGCCCUUCUGUGCCUCUGGUUCUUCAUCUACAAAAGAAAGCUGCUAACAGCCCCCUGUCCUCACCAAAUGAGAUCAUAGUUGUCCAAUCACCCUGUGGGCUUCACAGACACCUCAAACAGUAGAGCCCACUCUCUGGGCAGUGAGUUUUGCCAAGAGCUUUCCUGGGUGUUGAGGCUGUGAGUUCCUUUGGAGAUGUGCUGUUUUGAAGAGCAUCUUUCUUCAAUCCCUCCUGUGAUUUGGCUUCUAGAAUUUUGUCAUAGGUAUUUUCUUCUUGGAAUCAUCAUCAAGCUUGGAAGGCCAGAGAACGCCUUUCCAAAAAUACAAGCAGAAAAAGGGUGCUUUAAUCAUAUGGCUUUGUCACUGAAAGCUUUGAUGGUAGACCUUGUUUUCAGGUCUGGAGUCCUGAAUGUUCCACAGCAAAAUGGCGUGUCCUGCUGUGUUUAACUCUGUAUUAUCUGUUAUUGCUUUUGUGAGGUUCUGUAGAUUUCAAUGCAAUUUUUUUUUUAAAGUAGGACUCUGUUACGUUUCCUUGAUAAAUUGGGUAGUGAAGCCAGUCUUGAAGAACAGCACCCAAAGUGAUAAUGAUCCUGAAACAGUAUUGUGUUCAUUCUGGGGCUAGCAUUUUGUGUAUAGGAGAAUAACCUUAAGAUGGAAAAAAAAAAAUGUUGGAGUGAAGAUCAAACGCCAGACCACCUUUCUAACAGCCUUGAGCACUCCCAAAUAGGUAUGAUUGGGAUUCCCACUGAGAAACACAUCUGAUUGGAAAUGAAACCCCUGACAAUACAUCGUGAAGCCAGAUUACCAAGGUUACAACAGUGAUGUCAUUUACAGCCCCUUAAGAAAAAGGUCUCAGGUGUUUGUAACACCAACCACUGUUUGUAAGGGUGAUUACUUGGUAUGUUAAAAUUCUCAAAUGUAAUUUCCUUUAGAUCUCCAAGCUAUGAUCAGGUGCAAUGCAACUGACUAAAUGCUGUGCAUGCCUCUUCUUCUUUUUAAAGAAUUUUUCACUCCAGAGAGAAAUCACAAUAAUCCUGAGGACCUGAAAUCCUAAGAAAUUCACAAAUCUUUUGCUCAAGUUCAGACCAUUUCAGCUUCCCACUUCUCUUUCUACCUGAGGGUCAGUUUUUGCCUGUCUUAGAUAGGAAAGCAGCAUCUUUGUUCUGAACCUCUGUCCCUGUGACAUUUUCCCUGCAGCUGUACAGCAGACAGAAAGCAUUUUCGCUUACUUUGAAAUGAGAGUCCAAAUUGGGUUAUGACUAGGAUUUUAAAUUAUGAUGUGAAAUUGGAGAAGGCAAGCUGAUUCAGGGUGAUGUUCCAUAAUUCAUUCUGCUAAUCCCAUGGAGCUGACCUUCUUCACAGCCUGCCUUGAACAAGCCAUCUCCCUGUGUAGCUUCCUAGUGACAAGGUUUGAUUACUUAAGGAUUUCAGAGAUAUCAUUUGAGAAAUAACUCACUGGGUAUGGAAAAUUUGACUUAAUAUGUUAACAGGAACAACAAGAACCUAUUUUAAUGUUUUUUUCUUUCCUAUCUCUGAGAUUUUAGUCUUUCUUGAGGCCAUUGGGCUGUUUCCUUUUCAAGGCUGGAAAAAAUUGAUUAUAAUUCAUGUCUAUAGAAAGGCUCCCCCAAGCCCAUUGCAGCUGGGGGCAACCCCAAAUGACCCAUGAUAAUCUUUUGUUACCCAACAGAAUCAAGGACCCUUCUUGGUUGUGUGUGUGGGCCAUGGCGAGUAAGCUCAAGGGUAUUGUCAAAAUAAAAUGAAAAGAAGGCAAGUUGGGACAAGAAAAUUCUCAGUUUGAAUUUGAGAGAAA